rnacentral:rRNA from 1 species
GUAGUCAUAUGCUUGUCUCAAAGAUUAAGCCAUGCAUGUCUAAGCACAAGCCGAUUAAUGGUGAAGCCGCGAAUGGCUCAUUACAACAGCCAUAGUUUCUUAGAUCUUACUUUUCUACUUGGAUAACUGUGGUAAUUCUAGAGCUAAUACACGCAAACAAGCUCAGACCUUACGGAAUGAGCGCAUUUAUUAGAACAAAAACCAAUCGGGCUUCGGUCCGUCAUCUGGUGAAUCUGAAUAACUUUGCUGAUCGCACGGUCUUCGUACCGGCGACACAUCUUUCAAAUGUCUGCCUUAUCAACUUUCGAUGGUAGUUUAUGCGCCUACCAUGGUUGUAACGGGUAACGGAGAAUAAGGGUUCGACUCCGGAGAGGGAGCCUGAGAAACGGCUACCACAUCCAAGGAAGGCAGCAGGCACGCAAAUUACCCACUCCCGGCACGGGGAGGUAGUGACGAAAAAUAACGAGACGGCUCGCUAUGCGGUCCGUCAUCGGAAUGGGUACAAUUUAAAUCCUUUAACGAGGAUCUAUU